rnacentral:lncRNA from 1 species
GCUGUGGAGAAGAGGGACACCCUGUUGAGGCGGUCAAAGGCUGACCUGCUGGAAGCCCGUGACGUGAUCCGCAGGAAGUCCUUGGCGGCGGAGAUGGAGGCAGCGACGGCCCGAGCCCUGGAGGAGGACUUCCGGAGGGCCGGGCAUGGGAGCCGUCGGAGGGAGAGCGAGUGUGCGAGCAAGAGAACGGAGCUGCAGAAGGCGCACGGCUGCUGCAGGGAAGCAGCUCUGGCACUGGCACAGCAGGAGGAGAAGGUGCUGCUGGUGAAGGUGGGGCAGAGGGUGGUUGAGCUCAUGCAGGCGGAGCAGGCACUCUGCAAGCUGUAGGCCGAGCUGCGUGGGUUGCAGGAGCGGCUGGAUGGCGCACGGCACCAGCUCCUCAGCUCCAGGUGUAUGGCUGCAGGCUAGAGUCAUUUGGUGUUCAUCUACAUAUGACCCACACUCCUUAGCUGAAUGAGAGGGAAAAGCACAUCAACUCUAUUCAGCAGAGCAUGUCUGAGCUCCAGAGCGCCACCUUCAGGCUAGAGGAGAAGGAAUCUUGCAGACGAGAGCUGGAUGCCAGAGAACGUCUGAACCAUCAGCUCAGCAAAGAGGCAAGGUCGCUGGAGGAGACCGUCUCCGGACUGAAAGCACAGAUUGGCAGGAAGCAGGCAGUACAAGACUCCACCACUACAGAGCAGAGGCUCAAAGAGCCAAGGCUGGAGUUCGCUUCCCAUCAGGAGGGUGUAGAGCUGGCGUGUGGCAUGCGGCGUCACCUCCUUCUUCCUGGGCACGUUUGGGAGCUGAACCUACUUGGGCUCGAAUAUAUGAGGGCCAUGUGGCAGAACUGCGUGCCCAGCUGGCAUGUUCUCAGUGCUGGAGGCAGGAGCAGCGGGUAG